AACGCGGUGGUCACAAUAAGUCCUCUGCCCAAAUGAAAAAAAAAACUACUAAAAGAAUAGACACAAUCAUAUGCUCUGAAACUUAUAAAACACCAUUAAGUUAUACUAUAAAUAUCUACUUGUGAAAAUUCUCAAAACAUGGUGUUGCACAAAGUGUAACUUUGCAUACUUUACAAAUUAUUUUAGAUCUUUUGACCUCUUUCUUUGUGCUGCAGAAGCGGCAUCGUUUCCUAGUAGCUGCAUUGUAAGGCAUGUGAUGCCCAACAUUUCUCAUUCUCACUUCAUCUGCCACACCAUACUGGCCCCCUCUCUUAUUUUUGAAAAUGACAUGGUCUCUAAUCCUGGUGGAAAAGUUGUUUAUGAGACUUCGAGCCAAUCUUAGACGGAACUCCUUGUGGCUGCUACUGCUUGUCUUGUGUGUCAUACUAUACAUAAUAUAUGCAUUUAUGCAGGCCACUUCCAACAUAAACCAAAAUAAUCUCAACCAAUUUUUCUUUGUUGAUUUUCUCCCUAUUGAGUAGGAUGACCUUAAAUGAUCUAGCCUAUCUACACCCCCCAUAUUUCUAGUGUAUUGUUCAAUUGCAUAUGGGCAAAUCAUUGGUGCUUUUUGGCCAUCCUUUUGGGUUCGAUGUAUAGUAACUACUUUUUUAGGAUCAUAUGCUGUGGUACAUAUAUAUACAUCUUUUGUGUCACGCCACUUUAUUACAGACACCGGGUCUGCAUACUGUAACAUGAAUUCCCCAAUCUUCAACUUGUUUUCUCUUUUGUCGCCUUUAUGUGGUAAAAGACAUGUUGGUAAUCCUUUUCUGUUCACUCUGACAGUACCAACUGCAUAAAUUUUCUUCCGAUGUAGCAUCUCCAUCAAAGGCAGGCUGGUAAAAAAAUUGUCAAAAGCUAUUAGGGUGUCAGCCUGCACCGUUCUGCACAACUCUAUGACUACUUUGAAACCAAGUCCUCCAUCACCAUCUUCAUUACUUUCACAUUUGCUACUGUAAACAUUGAAUUGAUGUAAAUACCCAGUUUCAGAGUCGCAUCUUGCCCAGACCUUGUAGCCUCUUUUGAUCGGCUUUUUUGGCAUAUAUUGUUUCAUGGUACUUCUACCCUUAAAUUUGAUCAUACUUUCAUCGAUUGAUUGAGCCUGGGACUCAAUACAAUUAUCCUUGAAACUUUUAUUCAAAAUAUCCAUUACUUGACGGAUUUUACCCAAUUUAUCAUACCCUACUUGAGUUCGCUGUAGUUCUCUGGCUCUGUCACUUAAGUGCAAGUUUUCUGUGAUUUUUUUAAAACGUUUGCAUGUCAUCACUGCACUUAUGACUGGGUUAUGGUAGAAUGGGUCUGUAGACCAAUAAAGUUCUACAUCUGGCAGAGGAUGCAAACCCAUCAUUAUAACUAUUCCCAGAUAAGCUUUUAUUUCUUCUUCUACAGUUGCAGUCCAAUUUAGUGACAACAUGAACCUUGCAUAUUCAUUUGUAUUCUUUGUUAUGAUAGUGAUUAUUUCACUGGGAAACAUAUUUUCAAAAUAGUCAAUUGGAACACUUCGGUUUGUGUAAACUUUGUUGGAUUUAAAUUUGUUUUUGAAGUCUGGAGCUGCAAAAUUAGACGUAUCCAGCGACCACACCCUAUUAUUUUCAAUUAAUUCCUGUAGAGUUUCUAACUGUGGUGCACGAGAUGAUGUUUGUUGGACAACUUCUUGUGGUAACUGAAAACAAACUUUCCAAAAUAAAGACAUCUAAAAGGUAAACCUAAUAAUAUAUGACCUUACACUAGCUGUAUUAGUAUGAUAGGUUAUGGAUAUAGUUGUUACCUCUAAUGCAGGAUGAGAAGCCAAUUGUUCUGUUUCUAUUGAUGAGGAUGAUGUUGGCUCUUGUACAAUCAUUGAUUGCACAGGAUCUUUCAUUAUUGUGGAUGCAACGAGUCUAUGAUUAGCCAUUUCAUCUUCAUUUAUUGAAAAUGAUGGUGGAUGUGGAUCUGGUAUUGGUGGUGUACAGACCCUAUCUUCUUCCAAGAUGUCAAAUAGCUCAGAGCGUGUCAGUCCUUGUAAAUUGUCCAAAGCUUCAUUUAUAGGAGGCAUUGGAUAAUUUUCAUGCAUUGUACUUCCAUCGUCAUCUGAAUCGUCUUCUGAAGAUGCACAAAUCUCUCUCAAAGCCUUCUCAAUUUCAUUAUCUCGAAGAUUUCGAGUAUAAUAGGCGCUACAUACCUUCAGUUUUAACUGUGCGAUUUAACUGUACAGUCCAACUGUACAAAUAAAUCGUAAGUCCAUACAGCCUACACACCUUCAAGCAAAAACGCGCGACCUUUCAGUUUUUAUCAAUAUGGCCUCCAGAGACGACGCUUUAGCGAUCGUAGGGCUAAUGUGUGUGUUAAAAGAAAAUAGAAGAAAACGAAAAAAACGCGAAUUGUGGUGUAAACACUGGCUUCUGUUGAGAAAAUCAUAUUCACACACCUCCUUGAUAAAUGAAUUGAAAAUUACUCCAAAAGAUUACAAUAAUUAUUUGAGAAUGAAUGAGAAUACCUAUUUGCACCUUUUGUCUUUAGUGACACCAUUAAUAAAAAAGCAAGACACCAUAUUGAGAAAUGCUAUAACACCUCAUGAAAGAUUAACGGCAACUUUAAGAUUUUUAGCUACAGGGAGAUCUUAUGAAUGUUUAAAAUCAUACCAGAAACCUGUGAAGCAAUUUAUAAGGUUUUACACAAGGACUACUUAAAGUUUCCACGAACAUGCAAUGAAUGGAAAGCAAUUAGUGCGUUAUUUGAAGAAAGGUGGAACUUUCCACAUCUACUUGGAGCAAUAGAUGGAAAACAUAUUGCUAUUAUUCCACCUAAAGGAUGUGGAUCGGAAUUUUACAACUAUAAAAAACACCACAGCAUGGUACUUAUGGCUGUUGUUGACGCUCAAUAUCAGUUUUUACUAUGUGAUUUCGGUACGAACGGGCGAGUUUCAGAUGGAGGCGUAUUACAAGAUACAAAAUUUUUUGAAAUGCUCCAGAAUAACCAGUUGGAAAUUCCAAGCGAAGAAGCUGUAAGAAAUUUUGCCAUACGUUUUUGUUUCUGAUGACGCCUUUCCGUUGAGAUCUGAUAUAAUGAAACCGUUCAGACAAGCAGAAUUGACUUCAAUAGAUAAAAAAAUAUACAAUUAUCGUGUUUCACGAGCACGUCGGAUUGUGGAAAAUGCCUUUGGCAUUCUGGCCUCACGUUUCAGAAUCUUUCAUACAGCUAUAAAUUUACAGCCAAAUAAAAUUGAAUCCGUCGUUAUGGCAUGUUGUGCAUUGCAUAACUAUCUAAUUAAAAAAAUGCCUAAUUCUUAUACUAAUCCGGAUUGUUUUGAUCGAGAACAAAUUGAUACUGGAACCAUAAUCUCAGGAUGUACAACAGACAUUUCGACUAAGGAACCUAUAGAGAGGAGAGAGAAAUACGGGAAACAUAAGUCGGGCACCCAAAAUAAUUAGAGAAGAAUUUAUGAACUAUUUUAACAAUGAAGGUCAGGUUCCUUGGCAAAAUAAUUUUAUUUGAUUAAAUAAAGUUAUAGUUCGUUCACAAUAAAUUGCUCAAAAAUGGACUUAGCAGGUUAACAAAUUAGGCCGACGAUAUAUAAAGUAGGUAAAUCCACUUGUAAACUUCCUCGUAUAUAAACUUGUCUACAUAACAUUCUAGAAUUAUCGGGUUUGUUUGAUAUACCUACCUAUAAUCAUCGAUCUCUAAUAAAUAUCGAUGCCUACAACCUUUAAUGAAAUAACUUUUGUAUGAAAAUUAAUAAAAUAAAUUAGAUUAUUAUUAAAUUAAUAGAGCUACAACUAAAUUUUAUUUACCUACCUCAUCUUCUCCAUCCUCCAAAUUAGACCGACUAGGCCUUGGUAUAUUUUGAUCGUCUAAGAAACGUAAUAAUGAGUAAUACCAUAACUUCGGCUCAUAUAUGUCUUCGGCGCCUGAUCCAGAUUUUGAGGCCAUGACUUUUUUGUGCUCCUUGUUAUAUGUACAGCGUAGGUUAUUAAUUUUCUUUAUAA